UGCUGCCGCGGGCGGGAAGGGUCGGAUGGAGGCACCGCCUUUGGGAUCUCCCGCAGGGACCAGGGAGGGUGCGGCGCAGUGAGUCCGCCCCUAUCGCCGUGCUUGCACGGAAAGGUGUCGCGGCACAAUUUCUGUCCGUGGUUGUCCCAAUGGUUUAAGUGGUGAACGCCUUAAAAUGCAACAAGACAGCGCUAAAACCUGGGCUUUUGGUGCCAAAAUUGCCAGUCUGUCCCCGUGCUUGGGCGAAUUACAUAGGCUUAUGGGACAAUUAUUUUCAUUUUGCGAAACUUUUGACUCUUGAAUUGGUGGGUUGUAACCAUAAAGCACUGCUAAGUUGUGUACGGCAGUUACACUGUAAAAGAAUAGCAGUAGCUGAUGAUAAAUUAACAUUUCCAAGGUUUUGAAGUGCAGGCUUUAAAUAUAAACUCCACAAUUUUAGAGGAUUAAGACACUGCAUUGCUAUGAAAGGCUGCUGUUGCAUCAGUUGCCAUUUGGCAUUUAUAAAUGGUCUGCAGGUUGGAAAAAAACCCACAUUAAAAGGCCUGCUUUGUUCUACAUUCACAAGUUACAGCCUAGAAGUCAGUGCUUUUCCUCAACUUAGCUGCCACACAAGUUAUCUUGAAAAUACAGCAGCUGAUACAGAAGCAGUUUUUAGACUUACUUGGUGUAUCCCUAGAAUGGAGUGGGACCAAGUUAAAACUGUCAGGAUCCUGCCAAAAUUGUGAUCCUGAUCCUGUCUGGUUUUGGUAUUGGUAUAAAUAUUAGUUUGAUUAACGUUGAUAUUCAGUAGUUUGAAGACAGCACAUAACCAGAUUGUACAUUCCAUAUUCUCAGUGGGAAGAAUUAAGAGUAUGGAAGGUUUUUAUUUAGAGUUUUGUUCACUGUUUAACACAACCCUUGAUUUGAAUAUCAUCUUGGUGUGUGAAAUAUUUACUGUCUUAGUAUAGUAAUCCAUUUUUUUCUGAUUUAAGUUGGAGGUUUUCCAACUGACAAGUGACCUGUCAAGGUAGAGGAGUACUGUCAAGCCCAACACUUCAUGACAGACCAUUGCAAAACUGGUUAAAGCAGCUUGCAGAAAAAAUGAGCGUGUAAAAUGGGGAAGUGGUGUCAUUAUUACUUUUGUCUGCUGGAGUGUGAAAUACUGAAUUAAAUGCUUUUUCAUUCAUGAUGAAUUUUAUGGUUAUUGUGGUUUCUUUCCAUCCAGGUUAGCCAACUGAAAAAGGAGAUCAGUAAAUUUGCCAGGCAGUCAAAGGUGCCAGACAGUGAAAAGGAAAUGUAAAUAGUACAAAUAUAGGGGAGGUGGGAUUGUUAUUACUUAUUUGAGCUGAGGGAGGAAAGCCUGGAAUGCAGAACUCCUGUGAUCCUUGUUCAGCCAAGGACUGCCUGACUGAGAAAUUUGCUGAAUUGUCAGUUCAUUGUGUGGGUGGUUACAAAUAUACUGGGCACUUGGAAGAGUGUGCCAGCUGUGCAGCUCUUCUAGGGGAUUCCUUCCUGCUCUCUAAAGGCUGGCUACCUGUGGGGCUGACCACAUGCAGCUGAAAAUCCUCUGGGCUAAGCACUACUGGUAAGGGCACUGCUGCCUUUUGCUGAGUGCUCAUUCCUUAUGUAAGUUAAUGACAGAAACCCUCUCCUCUUUGCCACGAGGGUCUCCAGGCAGGAGGCAGGUGAAACACCUGCCCAGUAUAGGGUCAUCUCAGGGUUAGAUGCGUAGAAAAGUGGAUGGCACAGGUCUUCUGCAGCUUGUCUGAUUGUGAGAAAUUGGCCAUGCAAAUUUUCUAGUCAUGAGACACACUGGAGAGUCCAGAAAGCAGGGGGCCUCACAGAGCACCUAUGGUGUAGUUUCUGGGUAAAAGGCAUUUCUGCCUGAUAACAUCUGCUGUGCUGCAGAAAAUGCACAUGUAUUAGUGCACUCUGGUUAUUUGAAAGUGGAUUGCAUUUUGUGCAUACUGUGUUUCAUAUCCUGACAAAGUGUUAGCAUCACUGCUGGCAGACCUGUAUCCCCAGGAACAAGCAGACCAUAGCAGUUGUUAAAUAUGCUUCUCCUCAGGAACAUUCAGUAAGUGCCAUUCCUGUUGGUUUAAGUUGCCAGUGGCUACUUUAAAGUCUUCACAGGUUGCACCUAUGUUCUCCAACAUCAUUAAGUGGUGGACUGUGGAAAUCUCUCCUUGUAUCACUGUACUUCUCUCCUUUACAAGGUAGCCUAAACACUAGUAAUCCUAUACCUCAUUUUGCACAUUCUGUGGGGUACAGCUGUUAGUCUUAGAAGAUGCAUAUUCAGCAGUAAAUAUCAAAAAAGAAAAAGCCAAUGUUCUUCCACAAAAAUAAUGAAAAUGGUAAGACAUGUCAGACUAGGCUAUAUAGGUCUAACUUCUGCUAUUAAAAUGUAUUACAAUCUCAAAAGUAAAUGUGGACCUACUUGGCCUUUCACAAGCUGUGAGUCAACACACAGGCAGCUGAGACAACCACAAACUCACAGCAAGAACAUAAAGAGUAAAUUUGAGCUAAAAAUGUAAGAUUUAAAAUGGCUCAGUGUCACACAAGUGUUUUGAAUUAUUUUUCUGAUAGUUUUCUUGUCGACCUCAGUUAUCUAGUUUGCAUAAUAGCUAAAAUUUCACAUGAUGCUGAGUUGCCUUGCACAUACUCUUCAUGUAAAUCACUUCAGUGAACCUCAAAACAAUGCUUAAAAUUAUCCAUCCUGAUUGCAUUUCACCUAAAUGAUUUGCAUUUCUUCUAAAUCUAAAACCAAUUUAGAGCAAGAGACACUUGUAGAGCGCGUCAUUUUUUGCUCAGUGGUUGAUUCAUCUAUUAUGAUGCUUAUUUUGAAACACCUUUCAAUAAUUUUCAAUCAUCAUUGUAGAAAGAUGAUAAGAAGUUUGAUGUGAAAAUGUUCCACUUCAAUACUACUAAAUUCUUGUAAGUUAAUGAAAUAUGUCACAGGAAUAUCAAUUCCUGUAUUGCCCAGGAAAACUGAUUGUUUUCCUGCAACGAUUUUGAGUGUCUGUCUGGAUGGCUUCUCUUUUUUUGCCUUUCCUUUUGCCUUUUCUCCUUUUUUUUUUUUUUUUUUUCAGGUGCCUGCUUCUUAGUUCUUGGUUCUGUUACCCCUUGUUGUGUCACUACCAGCCUUGGCAAAAAUUCUCUCUCCAUCUUUCUUACAAGACCCCUUCAUCUGUUAAAUAGGCUGCAAUAAGUGACCCUGGAGAUUUCUCCAGGCUGAGAAAUCCCCACUCUCUCAGCCUUUCCACAAAAGAGAGGUGUUUUAGUCCUGUCAUCAUUCCUGUUGCCCUCCUCUGGAGCUGCUGCAAAAGGUCCAUGUCUUUCUUGUGCCCCAAGAAAGGAGCAGGAUCCCAGAGCUGGACACAGUGUUUCAGGUGAAACCACCAGAGCAAAGUAAGGGGAUCCCUCUGGUUAGCAUCCUGUCCUUCAAGUGUAUCAAGUGUAUCAAUAUUAAGUGUAUUUGGACACUCCAUGCUGGGAGCAUUUGGGCAGCAUUUGUGGUAGUAAGUUAACCAGGGCCCAGGAAAGGAAUGUGGUUACUUAUUGUCAGUAAACUGAGAUGCUGGCUGGCACAAUUCUGGCCUGUGCCAAGCAGAGCACUUCCAAGGACUUCUGAAUAUUCUUCUGGGGCUGGCAUGUUCUUGGAAGCUGUUUGUGUGCAGCCAGGCUGCUUGGAUAGUGAGAGAAUUUAUUAGCACAGGUGCAGGCACCUCCACAUUGGUUGGCCUGGGUGCCUAGGAAUAUCCCAGACACGCCCAAUUUACUGGGGCAGGUGUGGCAGUUCAGUAAUGUGUAAGUUGGUGCCAAGAAUAGCAGAGAACAUGUGGGAAAGUAUGUACUCACUGAGGUAAGUGGCCUAAAUGUAGGAAAGUAUCAGUGAGGUAAGUGGCCUAAAUGCUGACCCUUACUAUAUUUUUGUUAGGGUUCUACAUUGUAAGAACCAAUGGAUAAUGAGAUUACUUCAGUUGUCUAUAAAGUUACAUCCUAAAUUUGGAUGACCACCAAUCCAAUACAGCUCUGUAAAGGUAGCUCAUAUCUAAACUGUAGUUUAUAUCUACAUUUUCUUUUCUUCAGAUUAAAUAUAUACCUCUAGAACACUUCCAUGGAGUUUAUUGGUAAAUGAACAUAGAAUAAACUUCAGAACUUUCAGCAAAGUCACAUUCUAGUGUUUUCUGUGUGCAAGCCCAGUUUUACCAGUGUCAACCCCACAGGGUGCUGAUAGCUUUCAUGUAACAGAGUGGAUGUAACAGAACUUUGACCGUGACUGCUAGACUACCUUACUUUUUCAAAAGUCAUUUUUCACUUUUUGUAUAGGUGACAGAACGUCCUGCCUCCUGUAGAGGACAAUUAAACAUGUUCAGUGCAUUGCUGGCUCUAGGGCCUGGCUCUGAGAGGCAAGUAUUGGAGGAUGCAUCUCGAACAGGUGGCAGAGAAGAAGAGGAACUGUAUUUUACUCAGCAAAGGUGCUGGCGAGGGACGUGUGGAGGAGCAGUUGUGCUAAUGGUGCUGCGCACCAGUCACUGGAAACACUGGUUUAAUUUUGGGGUUGUUUUGGGGGCUUAGUGGAAACAAAUAGAAAUACAGAUUUCUCAGCAUUGUCUGUUUACACUUCAAUACCUGCAUGGAUUUUUCUCUGGUCUUAAUUUAGCUUUACUCUGAUCCUUUGGCCUGUGAAGAGAUCCACUGAUACUACAGGAAAAAAAAAAAAAAAAAAAGGAGAUACAAGAUGGAAUGAGAAAUCCCCUUUAAGUGAGGGUCCCAUCUCCAGCAGAGUAAGUGAGUUGUCAUUUGCACAGUUGGUCACAAGAUGUCAGUGUCAAAGAGUAAGUUGGAGGAAGGGCCUGGGAAGAUGAGCGCUCCCUGUUCCCCAUGCUGGGAAUACUGCAGGGAGCAUUUGCUGAGUUGGCUCUUGGCAUUGGAAACUGUUGCAGUAUUGCUGGGGCUCGAGGCCAUAGCGCAGGUGAGAAAUCUUUCCAGCUCUUUGCGGGGUGGUUUUGGUUUGGUUGGUGCAUAAGACCCAGCAGAAAGCUGAGAAAUUUCUGAGGCAAGGUGAGAGCAGGAAGAAGAUAGGAUUAGGAGCAGGAACAGAUUCUGGCUGGAGGAGGAGGCUGUUGCUCUUUGGACAUCUGUCUUCUGUGGUAGAGUACUCCACUAGGCAAAGUUAAGUAUCUUGCAUACAGCUUUCAGCUGACAUAUGAAAGCAGGGGCCUUCCAGGCUGUCACCUGUAAAGACAGGUGACACCCAUUUUUUAAUCCAGGAUCAUGAUACAAAGGAUUUAAGACUGAUCUGGUUUGCUAUGGUCUGUUCCAGAUUACAUCAGUGGAAAAACUUCCUAACAAAAAGUGCUGUUUGUAGCUGGCACAACUUUUGCACCUCAGACUGCUGCAUGGGAGUCAAGAGCAGGAGAACUUGUGGGGUCAUAAAAAGCCCACUCUUAUAAUGCUUUCUUUAAAACCAUUAUUUUGGCCCACCCUCCCUGGGAUUUCCAAGAGCUUCAGGAAGCAGCUGUUUUCCAGAAAGAAAAACAUGUCAGGAAAACACAUGGUUUCUACUGAAACAUCAUUUUCCAGAACUGUAGUUAGGAUGUGGUCUCCUUGAGAUUUAUUUAGAUGCUCAGUACUUCCUUCAUGAAAAACCUUUCAAAUGGGUUAUGAAGGAAGAGUAUUCUCUCUCUUCCACCACAUAUAACAAAGCAUGCACUACUAUAGAUCAAAAAUUCCUUCUAUUUAUAGCAAAUCAGAACUAGACUCCUUGAACUGUGAGAUAGAUUUGUUUUCUAAUUAGCAUUGCAUUUUUUUCCAAGAUGCUCUUGCUUUUUUAUGCUCUAAAGUCUCAACCUAGGGUACUUUUUUCCUAUUUCUGUUCCCAAGCACAGGCUUGUGUUUGCAUUUUGUUGUAUAUUAUAUGUUUAAAAGCCAUGUCAUUCCUCUGUUGCUUCUAGUUUUUUAGGAGUAAAAGCACCAGGAGAUGCUACUUCUUGGUCUUCUGCUUUCAAACAAAAUCAAGGCAUAAGCUAUCCUGAAAUCUUAAAUUCUGAAAUAAUUACAUUGGCUAGCUUAUAUCCAUUUUCCUCAUAUAUGUACAAUUUGCCAAAAUAGGAGUCACAUUAUUUCCUUGAAAAUUCCCACCCUGCUCUCCAGAGCUGCUGUUCCAGCACCUGUAGGCAUAGCCAAGCUCACUGCUUGGGUACCAACAGUGACAAAGCUGUUGAGAAACUGCCAGUGUGAAAGCCUUGCCAAGGCUUCUACCAUUUGUCCUGAUCCAGAUUCAAUACCAUGCAGCUUAAAGCUACUGGAAGUACAAGCAAGUCUGAAUUUUUCCCCUGCAAGCCUGCAGAACUGUACAAUACAUUUAUGUGACUGUUGCUCAGUGAUUUCCACUUCUCCCUUUUCAGAGCCUCUUACCAGAGCAGCGCAGUAAGAGAGACCCUCUGUAAUUCAACAGACUUCAGCCACACUUUGGCUCUGUGUGAAUACAGGUGGCAAAGCCAUUUUUAUGCUUAUUUCCAUAAGAAAGUGUAUUGCUCUCUCACCUCGUUCUGUGAGUGGCAGCUGCUGCCAAUUUGUGAUCAGUAUUCUCAGGUGGAUUGUGGGUGAGCAUGUCUAAAAUCAGUCACAUGGAGGCUGGGAAGUGUUAGGCAUUUACACUUCAAAAAGAAAGUGUCCUGCAGUACAUCUCCUCCUUUCUUUUGGUCUUCCAGCUCUCUGAAUGUUACUGAAAACAGUUCUUUCUUCAAAAUCCCGCCUGCCUUCUGUUAGGGGGCCCCAGCCUCACCUCAGCUGGCAUCCAUGGGAGGAGCCCAUUGUUUUGGUGGAUGAGCCAGGAAUGGAGGCAGAGUCAAACAUCUUUGAUAGUAUUGGCAUUGUACUGCCUGCUGUUACAUUGGCCUCAUGAUUGUAAGGCAGCUUUUAACUGGUGAUUCAUCAAAACUGGGUAUUUGUCAUGUGCCUGUUUAAAGUCUGAGAUGGUCCAGCUUGGGAACAAAUGUUAUUUAUGUUAUUCUUUGGCUGUUUGAGCAGGGCCUGUGUAGGAGGAGACUGUAGAUGACUGAAGGGACUGUGUGGAAAUCCCAGAUUUUGAGCCUGCUGAUGAUGCCAUGAGGAAAUAAAAACUACACAUAGAAUCAUACAGAUAAAGAUGCAAAUACAGUGCCUGUGUCUAAUUUGGCUUUAUGUUGGGGCAUCAAAUUGCCUUGCAUUUCUUAAGAUUUUGUGCCUGUUUGUCAGUCCUACAAUGCUCUACUUCCGUAAUACUUUGACUCCUUCAAUUUUAAGUAUUCUCUUUUUUUUGUAAAUGAAUAUUUAAGUAGAACUUUCCACACGUGGAAACUGAUGAAAAUGGGGAGACAAGGUUGUUCUAUAAGACAGGCUAGUAUUUUUUUUUCCCAGUCCCCCCUUCCCAUGCUUAUGGAAGGUCCUUCCUGAUCAAGCAACAUCACUGGAGAGUAAGGCAUUUUUAACCUAACUUACUACUUUGUGCUGAAACUGACUUCCCUGCACGAAAAAUCAAGAAGAAAAUACAGGUAGAGACACGGAGACAACAACAAAGAAUUGAACAAUUACAAGGGUAAAUUCCCGUUCACAGCUUUUGAAGUCCUCUUUGCAACACUUCUGGAUCUCAUUGUAAGGGCACAAAAGGAGAGCAAAGCAGAGAGCACCGAGGAACACAACUGCUUGGGAGAGGAGGGGAUUCUUUCCAGACACGAAGGAGAAGUGGGAUAUCAGGCUGCAGUUUGCUAACAGGCUCCAGCUCGACCCUGGUCAGGCCGGGGAGCACCCAGGGGCGGGCGGGCACCGGGACCCCGCCGGGACCCCCGCGCCGGCCGCCGCUGUCCGCGGUGCUGAAGCUGCGAGGGGAGGAGGUGGGCGGGGAGCGUGCGGCAGACGGAGAGGGUUUUGUCUUUCUCGCGCAGGCGAAUGAUGAGGAGUUCCGCACGCUGGCUUAUGCCGAGGUGGUGGCCGCGGUAGGUGUGUGCGGGCUGCUGGCAAAGCUUUGGUAGUCGGACUGCCUCGCUGGUUGCCUAGAGCUGGGAUAUCGGUUCAAUGCAGAGGAGCCUGGACAAGGAGCUAGGGCAUGAGGCCGGCUUUGACAAUGUAGAGUUUGAACUGAAGUGUAUCCAAGGCUGCAACCUGUGUCCUGGAAGCGAGUCCCGUAAUGGCACUGUUGGGGGGGUCUCGAAUAUUGCAACUUUUUAUUUUCUGCAGCAAUGAAAUGGUCGCAUUCUCUGGUCACUCACCCUACCACACACACCCCCCACCUACCCUCCUAGCCCCUUCACCACCCCCCCAAAAAGAAAAGAAAAAAAAAAGUAUCCUUUACUUGUUUGACAAUAGUGCUUUUUUAACAAAAAGAGUCAAGCUCUUUGUGCCCUGUUCCAAAUCUGUUGUAUGGUGCUAACUGGAGUCAUUGCAGCAGAAACAUUACUUGGAAUCAGCAAGGAACUUAAUGAGGCUGUUAGCUGGGUUUUGUAAGAUAAACGGGAACAAGUUGUGUGUGUGUUUUGCAGGGUAGAAAAGGUGUGAGAGCAGGAAUGCUUUGUGUUUAAAAACCCCAGGUCUUCAGGUCACUUUUAUUGUGUGUCCUUAACCAUGUGUAGUCACUGGAAAGCAGGAGUAUACACAGUUUAUGGCUAUGUUUAAGAUAAUGAUCCUUCCUGCUGGCUAGGAAGGAAGGCACAGAGUGGAUGGCUGGGAGAAACCCCAGACCCCUGCUGCUGGGCUGAGCAUUAAUGUGCUCACUAGUCCAGUGCAGGUAUGAGGUACUGCCCACCAUCUCUCAGAGCAGGUCAAUCCUUGUUCUUACCAAGUAUCAAUCUUCUGACCCACUGCGUUUCUCAGAGGAAUUUGGUUAUUUUUUGGUUGUUGUUGGUCAAGAAUAUUUACAUGACUGUUUCUGACUCCAUAGCCUCUUUCUUUGGGUUUUGUUGGGGCUUUUUUCCUUUGCUUAUCUUGCUUGUUUUAGUUUGCUCCAUUGACAGGAAAUUUUUCUGACUAAACUUAAGCCAAGGGACCAGCCAAGCCUCAGGUCAGAUUCAGCUAAACCUUAAAAGAAAUGGCUAUGAGCUCCAGUUUCACUCUUUGAGGAUUUCAUCUCUUUUGGUCACUGAUGCCGUUGCUUUGUUGAUAAUUAGGUCUAGCAUCAAGCUGAGUCUCCACUUACAUCUUUGGCUAGAGGGCUGCAGCAGGGUUUGGAGCCUUAAUGGCAGCUCCCAAACCAAAAUCAGAUAUCACAGAACAUGCAAACACCAGUCUAUUUAAUACCCUGACUAACUGGACCUCUAAUAUCAUCACAGCCUACAUUCUGGAACAUUUUUAGCUUCUUUAGCAUUUUAUUAGCAUCUUGUUUGGGGCAGUGAUGGAGGUAUAAUACAGAGCUUGAUACAGAACACAGAGUUCAGUGAACCUUUGUUCUGACAUGGUAGGGCAGUAUUUUUGUUUUUAAUAUUCCAAGUCAGGUUGUCAGCUGAUUUAGAGCACCUGAGACUGUUCUGAAAAGAGAAGAAUUCAAGAUCCUAAUUUUGUUCCUUGGCAGGUUUUACAAAAGCAUACAGGUGUCUGAAGUCUAAAUUCAUUGCUGCUCCUGUAAAAUUUAAUAGUGUUAGGAACUGAAACAAUAAGAACACAUCUGUUUGUUACAGGUGCCUGUUUUUUCACAACUUCCAUGUAUGUUGGAGAUUGGCAGAUUGGGCGGGUAUUUGGUGUAAAUUGAUGCAGCCUUUGAUAAAAACAGUCUUCUUGAAAAUAUGCAAAGUCUUCUAUGCACUGAAAAGUAAAGGGACUUUACUGGGGAUCAGAGGAUUGAUUUACAAAUGGCAUGCAGUGUUUGCUCAACAUAGCACUGAACUGCAGUCACAGGAACUGUCCAAUAAUCUUUUCUGGUGCUGUCUGGCAGUCCUGAGUGAAUCUGUAGGGUUUGUUUGGGAAAGCAGAAUAUAAAUGACAGAACUGAAAUAUAAUCAAGACCCAAGUGUUUGAAGUGUUAUAGCUCAUAGUUUUUAUUAUUUCACAUGUUAGUCUUGAAAAGCUAAGAAACCUGGAAGACCAGGUCCUCUUUCCUGUGAAAAACAAACAAGUGAAAAAGACAACAAAACUCUUCCCAUCCCACCAAAACAAAUCAAGCAAAACAAAACAACAAAAAAAUAAACCCCAACCAAACAAAAAGAAAAACAACAUAAAACAAUGAUGUUUAAAAAGAAAACAUUUAAAAACAAAAAGUAUGAAGUUUAACAAAGACAAGCACCAGAUUCUGUAUCUGGCAUGGGACAACCCUGGGUGUAUGAACAAAUUGGGGAAUGAGAGGCUGGAAAGAAGUGCUGUGGAAAGGGACCUGGGGGCUCCUGGUUGAUGGCAAGUUGAAUGUGAGGGCACAGCAUUGCCAGCUGAGCAAGGGAGGGGAUUGUCCCACUCUGCUCUGCACUGGGGCAGCCUCACCUUGAGUCCUGGGGACAGUUUUGGGCACCACAAUAUUAAAAAGAUAUUAAGCAAUUAGAGAGCAUUUACCAUUACAUAAAUAGGGGAUGAGAAAUAUCACUAAGCAUAGGCUGUCUGAGGUGCUCAAAGUCCUUUGCAAGUGAUUCUUAAGGCAGUUUGGAAGUGGUUCUUCACUACAUAAAAUAAUGAUUAUAAUAAGAGCUCCUAUGCUGACUUACUUUCCCAAAUUCAGGAAGAGCCCAGAGCAGGAAUCCUUAGUGCACUAUUUCCUGAUCCUUGUUUUUACAAAACUGAGCUCACUUCCUGUUCAAAUAGACACUUUCCAUUCACACUUCACAGCUGUAGAGUAAGACAAAUGACUUGAAAUUACAGCCACCUUCAAAAUAGCACAGUUAUUCCAAAGAGCACAAUAAUUCCCAGUGAUGCAAUUCAUCAAGAACAUCCACUGUGGAACAUCCACUCAAAGGGCUUCAACAGCACUGGGGUUCUGGACUCUGCUCCUUUACUCCACUGAAUUUUCAGGAUUAAAAAAAAAAGUGACUGCACAGCUUUUAUCCCAGUAUACCACAGGUAAGUUUGAAAGAAUCCUCACUCUAUGAUCUUCAAGGCCUGUAAAGUAGGAAUCUCCAAAGGGAGGAUUCCAUUUCCCUUUGCCUGCUGCUCCUGCUUCUGGCAGGGCCAUUUCUUGCCAUGGAAACACCUGUGGCUCUCCAGCCAGUCCAGGCAUGAAGCCAAAAUGUCUGCAAGUCAUCUUGCAGGGUAGCAUGGGAUCUUGGUAAUGAUCUGUGAGGCUGCAGCUUUUAACUAUUCUAAACCUUCUCUCUUUGGGCUUGACAUCUGCAGGGCACACCAGGGGCAGUGGGCCAGGAUGCUACAGAACUCCAACAGAACAAAACUGAAGCAGAAUCCGACAGUCUUGGAUGCUCUCAAAUGUUAAGAUUCCAAAGAAUGAGUUAGCAAUCAGAAACGUGGGGGCUUUAUGUCAGGGGUUUCAUCUUGCCGCAAAAGAAGGAAGUCAGGUUCCACUGUCAGUCAGAGCAACACUGAAGUGGAACUAACGAGAUGGGAGAAGCAUUCCUACUCUCAGUUGGAAGCAUUAGUGACCAAAGGUGAAAUUGCACAUGGACACAGAAAAGCCCAUGCUUCAGUGAGUGGCAAAGUAACCUCUGAUGUUCCAAGCAUUUCAGAAUCAUGGAGCAAGCCACAAACUUUGCCUGCUGCAAUAGGAGCCAGCCUUGUAGCCUGAAUAAAGUUUCAGUGUGUUUGCAUCACAAAAAAGGGCUCCCUGGCUGUUUUGUAAUUUUCUUUUGAAGAGAUUUUAAGUAGAUGAAGGUCUGCUUCCUGCAGACAGGAAGUUGCUUGCUGUUUGUUUUUAGCCAUGGUGGAAUAUAUGGGUGACAACAAUGUACAGUGCUGUCUAAUUAGCCACUCUAAUUUAGUUUUAGCAACUCAGAAUCCCAUUUCUAUCCAAGUUCAUGAUUUCUCCUUAGUAUAGCUGGAUAGAUUGAUGCAUAUUAAUAAUAUUGUAAAUAAUUUGUAACACUCUGUCACUCACACUGUUGUCUGUCCAUGGGGAACAACCCCAGAAUCAGAAGCUGCUUGGGCUCCCUCUGUUUCUAAAGAAGAUGAUGGUAAGGAGGAAGACAACCAAGCUCCACCUGGUUUUGGACCAGAACCUGAGAGUCCAGUAUCAGUAAGGGCCACCUUUGGUCAGCAUUGUGUUUGGUGUAAUUCAGAGCUGCCUGUUUCUGGUCAGGCAGCACUGGUCAUUCAUGGCUGAAAAUAGUGAGGGCUGGAGUCCUACUGUGACAAAGUGCUUCCCCCAGUGCCAGCCACUGACACCUGGAAAAUCAGCUCUGAACUUUCAAGUUUGGUCAUCAUUUUGCUGGCAUUCUGAGAGGGACCAUGACUUUAUCUUAGCAUUGGAUAAGAGGCAGCAUUGUGUCUUUAAAUGCUACUGGUGUAAAAGUGUAAAAUCUGUGCAGGCUCCCUGUCAUCAGCGGAGUCAGCUGUCCAAAGCACAGUUCACAGAAACUGUCCUGUGGAGGUUCCUGCCCCUCUCCAUGGACCAUCAAAGUAGCUAAAUGGACAGCUUAGACUGCACCUAUAAAUUUUACAUGACCAAAAUUUGAUGAGGAGACUCCUGUGUAGUCCUGCCAUGUCAAGAGAAGGUUGGCCUGAAGGGCUGGAACACGAUUCCCAAUGGACACUUCCUAAAGCCUGAAAUAGUAAUGAAAAUUAUCUCUACCAGCCACCUUUCUGACACAAACUGAUUUCUUGUCACAGCUCCACGCAUCCUCUGGAAUAGUAACUGACACUUUACCAGUAUCCUCUGAAACAGACAUUCCCACACCUGAGAAUUCCAGCAUCAGCAGUUUGGAUAGCAACGCCUGCCAGGAGCAAAAGAGGACAGAGGAGGAGAGUCUAGGGACUCUAAGGAGCAUCAUGAGUGUGGAUAGAUAUUUUGUUCUGUGACAAAAUAUGUUGGAUCAGAAAAAAUGGCCAAAGGGGUUUCAGAAUGGUUUAUACAGUGACUGCUACUGCCACAGGAGGAGAGGUUGCUGUGAAGCAAGUGAGUCUCCAAAAACAGCCCCAAAAGGAACUAAUCAAUGAACUUCUAGUUUUAAGGGACAAUAAGCACCCUAAUAUUGUUAGCCAUUUAGACAGGUAAGUUCUUCUGGUAUUAUUGUGUGAAUGUUCAUUUAUGUUCUGCAAGACAAAGGUUGAAAAAAACCCUCUUCAGAUACUGCUGGAGAUGUUUUUACUUUUAUUUAUCUAUUUGUAUACAAUAUGUGGGAGGAGAGCGAAUUUUGUUUGCACUAAUCUUUUCUGUUGUGCAUUGUUGGAAACCUGGUUUGAAAAACCUAUCUGACUAAAACAGCAGUCCCUAAGUUCACUGCCUCCAUGUGUUUUUGUUGGUUUGGGGUUGGUUUGGGUUUUUCUUUUUUUAAGUUGAACGUAUUUUCUGUGUUUUAUGAUAAAUGCUGGUAACUCAUCAUAGAAAUUAUUUCCCUGUACUUUUCACUUUCUUGCCACCUAAAACAUCUCAGUUUUCACAGAUGGGCCUUUCUCAUUAGACUGCACAGAUUCCAAGUAGUGUAUAACCUAGGAGAAAUGCCUCUUCUUCUCAUUCUGUGUUCAUUUACAGGUGCCCUGGAAAUAGGAAUAAACUGUAGUAGUUUUCAUAACUGUAGUGUUUUUCAUAAGGUAAUUUAGCUAUGCACAUUCAUCUUCAUGCCAUUGUUUCCUUCUUUCAUCUACCUUGCUGGGGAUAAAUUCUGGAUAAUUAUGGAAUACAUGGAUGAAGGACCUUAAAGCAGGGUCAUUAAAGUCCACAUGGCUGAAGGAGAGAUAGCAACCAUCUGCUGAGAGGUAAGGGAUGCCACUGGUACUUCUGAUUGUUUGGGCAGGCUGGUACUUCUGGACAGGUGGUAAGAACAGGAGUGAUUUCAUAUUCAAAGCUUUGUUACUGCGUUGCUUUGGUGAUACAGAGAAGCAGGAGUGUCUUAUGUGAAGGACCUGCCAGCACAACUGUUGUGGUACUCUCUUUUAAAAAAAAGAUUAAUUAAUUUUCUCAACUUUGCCUCCUUGAGCAUUUUCCUGGAGCCUGUCUGUAUUGCAUUCCUUGCCUGUAGAAGCAAAUAUGCUGGUAGCAGACUUUUAAAUUAACAGCAAACCCUUUUUUGUCACCUGGAUGGAGAGAGCCCAUGCCCUGCCGCAGCAUUCUGUCUGUGUUUGCAGGGGACAGUCUGUAACAACAAUUGCCAUUUAACUUUCAAGAAGUAAUAUGUCUUCGCCUAGAAAGAUACUGCUCUACUACUGAUGAAGCAGCAGACUCUUCCUCUUGACAACACCAUGUUUUGCCACUACUCACCUUUCAGCUAGAAGUGAGGUUCUUUAGAGCCAUUUCCUUUCUUGGUGAUGAAAUCAGGUCAUUAAUUUUUACCCUCCUGUUUGAUUUUUAUCUAUCAGUGCCUGCAAGCACUAAGUUCCUUUUACUCCAACCUCGUGAUUCAUAGAGAUGUAAAAAGUGAAAACAUUCUUCUUGGAAUUGAUGGAUCUGCCAAACUGGGUCGAUAUUCUUGGUCAGGUACAGCAUUCCUGGGCUGUGGGGUGUGGGGCUGCUUAAGACUGACCACCAGUUCUCCAAGAGCAGUCAUUCCCCUCAUAUUAAUGCCCAGUCUGGGUGAUUUCCAAGAGAAAACUGAGUAGAAUCAUAGAAUAGUUUGGGUUGGAGAAGACGUUUAAAGGUUGUGUGGUCCAACUUUCCCACUCUGAGUGGGGAUAUCUGGAGGUAGAUUAGGUUGCUCAGAGCCCUGUCUGACCUGACCUUGAAUGUUUUCAGGGAUGGGGUGCCUAGGACCUCUCUGGAUAACCUGUUUCAGUGUUUCUCCACACUCCUUAUAAACACUUUCUUCCUCAGACCUAAUCUGAAUGGACUCUCUUUUGAUUUGAAAGCAUUUCCCCUUUUUCAUAGGCCCUGACAAAAAAAAACCAUCCCCAUCUUUCUUAGAACCCCCUUGAGGGCAGUAAGACCUCCCCAGGGCCUUCUCCAGGCUGAACAUCCCCAAGUAUUGGAGCCUUUCCUGUAGGAGAAGUGUUCCAUCCUUUGAUCAUUUCUGUGGCCCUGUUCUGUGUUUUGGUAGCAUGCUCAGUUUUCCCUGGUGGCAAAAGAACUGCAGUAGGACAAUCCCAGCUAUGGAGGCCUGAAAUGGUGCUGGUGAUGAAGGAACCCAAUGAAGCCAUCCCAGCCAAGCAGUCUAAGACUUGGCUGUGAGAAGGAAGGGGUUGUUGGGGAGCUCCCUUUGAGCAUCAGAAGGGCCUCAGCUUGUCCCUCCUACCCCACUCUUAGAGGUUUCUGACACCAAAACUGAGACAACUUGAGUGGGACUUGUCACAGCCCUUUUUGCUGCCUGGCACAGUUGAGGAGAUGAGAACUGCUGCAGCGUUGAUGCCAGGUUUUAUGACAGAUUGGGAGCUGCAGAAUGUGCCACUUGGCUGUCCCUGCUGUGAAGGUGCCAGCCAGCAUGGGAGGUGCAGGGGAUGCAAAGGAAGAUGUUGCUAUCCCUGCAAGUCAGAGCUGAGUGCUCCCAUCAGUGCUCCACCACUUGUCUUUCUGCUCUUGGUGCUGAAAACCUCAGUGGUCUUCAGAUGAACACAUGGGCCCAGAUCCUAUUGGGAUAAACAUUUCUUAGCUGUCCUCUAGUUUCUUGAAGAAAGCUUGUGCUCCUCAUCUUUUCUGACAACUAAAAUAGCUCAUGCCUAUAAGGAAGAGGAUCCCUAAGUCAAUAUUUUGUGUUUUCUGAAAGCAGAAAAUUCCUGGACUGCAAGCAGCAUUCCCAGAGUCUUGGCAGGGCAAAUAUUGCACCAAGCUGGAGAUAUCUUGAUAAAUUUAAUAGAAUUAUGGGCCAAGUAUUCCAGGUGCUGGACAUGUGUUAGCAAGGUGCAUGAAGAUGGAGGUGCAGAUUGUUCCUUCAGACCUAUUUCUGCAUCUUUCUGGUAUCUCAAGGAAUAGUACUUGAGCCCAUGAGAAAAUGAGUUUGGAAAGCUGUGGUUCAUUUGUUUUCUUUUCCUUUGGGCAGCAUCCAUUUUUACUGUCAGCAAAGCAUCUCUCCAGCCUCACCCCUCUGAUCACUGUGGCAAGGCAGAUGAGGGAAGACAGGAGAUGUGACAGUGACAGAACUGCUUUGUCCAGCGCCAGCAAUGAGUGGCUCUCAGAAUAAAAACUGUUUAAAACUUCAGUUCAGAGGAUACCCUUCCUUAUCACCCUGUGAUUAAGUUGUACAUUCACUUUUUAUUUGCCACUUUUUUCUUAAAGAUGCAAAGUCCCAUUUAUGGGGGGGGUUUGGUAUGGCUUGAGAUUGGAGAAGGGUCUCUUUCUUUCCUAAACUCCAGACGGCACUGCUUAUGGAAUACAGCCCACUGGACAGAUUUUUUCCCAGUCAUGGUCCUCCUAGGUAAGGAAGACAGCACAUUUGCAUUUUCAGCCAGACACAAAUGAAGAGUGUGGCAGAAAAAAUAUCAUGUGGAGAUGCAGGCUUUUAGUUGUAGCUCUGGAGGGUUUCAGCUCUCAGCCACUGGAUUUGUACAACUCAUAUCAAUGUCUUUGCCAGAUGAGAGUCUUACUCAGAUGAAAAAGCAUCAAGAUCAGUCAGUGCAGUCUGAAAGGGCCCAUCUGAGGCAAAGCUGUCAAUGGAAAUGUGACGUGAGAGCGGGCUCAGCCACGGCCAGCUCUGAGCCCCAGCAGAGCCCUGGCAGAGCACAGAGCAGCCUCAGUGUCACCGACACGUAUUAUGAAAAAUCCUUUCCUUAGGAUUUUUCCCUCCUGAGAAGCGAGAGGCCUCAAGAACAAAAUGCAAACAAUUCUAAUCUGCUGCUGUGGAAUGCAACAGGUGGAUCUGUGAUUGGUCUCAUCUGGUUGUUUCUAAUUAAUGGCCAAUCCCAGUCCAGCUGUCCAGACUGUCUCGGUCAGAGACAAGCCUUUGUUUUUCAUUCCUUUUCUAUUCUUAGCUAAGCCUUCUGAUGAAAUCCUUUCUUCUAUUCUUUUAGUAUAGUUUUAACAUAAUAUAUAUCAUAAAAUAACAAACCAAGCCUUCUGAACAUGGAGUCAACUUUCUCAUCUCUUCCCUCAUCCUGGGACCCCUGUGAACAAUGUCACACCUCAGCAUUGGCAGCCUGGAAGAAGGAGUUUGUAGCAGCCAGCAACAGCAGACCAGCCCUGGAUGCUUGCCCCUUCCUGGAACCAGAUCUUUCAUCCUGUGUCAGAACCGAACCGGCCAUGGGCUGCUCCCAAGGGGAAUUGUAGCCGUGCCUUGGACUGCGCACCCUGGUGGGACCGGCCACCUUGAGUUUGUGCAGGUGUGGAGAAGAGCCAAAGAGAGGGGAGUGGUGGUCUCACUGCUGAGGAGGCUGCUCUCCUGGGAGACUUGCAGCUAAAUAUUAAUUAACCAUCCUGGAUUUCCUGGAAAGCACAGCAGGCCUGAUUUUUCAGACGGCUGCUGAGGUGAGCCGCUCUGGUUUCCUGAACGGCAUCCCCAGGGGAAGCUGAGAGAGCUGCCAGGAGCCUGCAGCUGGCACAACAGUGGCUGGCAGGACUUGGGUGUUCCAGGAGCAAGGGGGGCCAAAUGUCCAUCCCUCCAGCCCCAUAAGAAGCUUCUGGGGAGUGCCACCACCCAGGGCAGGAAAACAGGCUGUGGCACAUCAGAUCAUGCAGAAGGGCACUGAAGCUCUGCCAGCUUGACCAGGGAGCAGCAGUACCCGAUAGGGAGAAAGCCAUGGCCUCUCUAAGCUCUGCACCCACCAGGAUUGAUGCAGCUGUCCAGGGAGAGCUCCAGGGUGAUCCUGCUGCCACCCAGUGUGAGCUGCAGGCUGUGCCCUGCUCUCAGGGCAGUCCCAGACAGCAGCAAUGAGCACAGCUCUGGGAGCUGAGCCCGGGAACUCCUCCACGUAGUGCCAGAGCUGCGCUCUGGGAGGAGGGUGUUUGAGACAUAUGAAAGUUGUUCCUCUUUCUGCUGGAAACUUGCUGCUUUUGACUUGGAACAGAUGUAAGCUUCCAAAGCCACCUGAGUGAUGCUGAGGGCAGUAGGAAGAUCACCCCUCACAGCCCAAAGGUUUUAGUGAAGCCUCAACCAUCAGAAGGAAACUCUGGCAAACCCACAGUGGGCAACAUUUCAUAAAGGUCAAAAUAACACUUCUGGGUUCAACAGCAUUUAUGGAAUUCAGGGAAUUAAGAAUGAAGGAUGACUGCCACAAUGAGAGGGAGGAAGACUUCUGUCAGAAGCCAUCACCUGAAGGACAAGGAAGAGCCUUUUGCCAAGACUUAAAGAACUUUGGGGCUAACAGAACUUAAAGAUGGAAUAGGGAAAUGAAUGAGCUUUACUAUCUGCUUUUGUCAUAAACUUAUAGUCAUGUGCCACAUUCCAGAUGUCACCUGCCCUGGUUUUUCAACAUUUGUUUUCUUUUCUCUGCUUAAUUUAUGUAAAUGUGUUUUGAAUAAUGGAUGUAAGAGGGUUUGGGUUGGUUAUGUUUUAUAAUGUGUUUUUAUAAUAUGUUUUAUUAUGAGGUUUACUAUUUUUUAUGGUUUUUAUUUAUUAAGUUAUGGUUUUAUUUAUUAAGUCAUAAUGUGUUUUUUGUUAGUUAAACCCAAAUUUGUUUGCUUCCUUCAUGGUCCAAAUGCAGCAUUGAUUUGGAAAAAACCCAGGCACUCACUUUCUUCCCUUUGGAAAGAACCCAGCCCCUCACUCAGUGGGUGAGGAGUAUGAAGGUAGAUCCUUCUUCCUCCAACCUGUGGGAUUUUAUCAUUUAUUCCUAACAAUUCUGAAGAAUAAGCUUGAAACUGCAAACCCUUCAAGCCUGGGGACUGAGCCAGGUUUAACUUGCUGGUGCAUGGAAGCUCCUUUGCUCUCCAGUCCAGAUGUAAACAUUUCCUUCCUUUUGCUAUUUCAAAUCCUUUUGCCAUGGGGUUCCCUGGGGGUGGAUGCCAGGGUGUUGCCUAGUUUAUUUCACCAGCCUGUGCUGCUCCCUGUAUUCACUGUGGUGCUGCAGCCCCUGCUUCUGUGGCUCCCGGGAAUCUGACUAGCAGCACAUGGCACUCGGGUUUCAGGCUCCAAAAACAAGCAGCAGGUUUUAGUCCAGUAAGAGAGAAAGAGUCAGCCCCAGAUCCCACUGCACCAUCCAUGGUUUCCUGCCUGUACUUGUUGGAAAUGGGAUAACUUUCCUAAAUUAUUGGUUUUAAUUAACUUAUUGAUUCAUUGUUUUAAAAACUAUAAGUAGUGUAUUAGUCUUUAGCAGUGUAAUUUUCCAUUUUAGCCGGCAUGUAUCUAUGUUGGUUUUUUUUGUUGUUUUUUUUUUUACUGACUGUUAUUGUUAGAGUGUGAUUAUUAGAUCCCCAAAAACUUUAAGCUAUGAUGAACUCACCCUGAUAAGCUUCAAUGAAAAAAGCCCUUGGGAGGUAAAGGCUGGACACCUGGAAUCCAGAAUUUAUAGUCCUCCAAGGACAUGUGGAAGUAACCAGAAGAUAAAGAAAAGACUAACAAAGGUGAUUCAACAUGUUCUGGAGACACCCUGUCUGGGAAAAAGAUAAUAAGAAAACAUGUGGAUUAAUUAGCAUGAGAAAUCAAUAACCAGUAGAAGAUAAAAUAAUAAUUGAUGCAAAAAUUUGUGAAAUUUAGAACCAAUGAAUAUUAACUUUUUUGCUAAAAAUAUAGAAAUAAAUGAAAAGUUUUGCAAGUCAUGUGCAUCUAGGUGGAGCACCCCAGUCUGGAAUAAACUAAUGCCUGCUCCCUAAUGCUACAAAAA